CACUGUAUGUAAACAAACUGAUCUGUCAAACUCCUGUUGAUAGUAACGUGACAGGUUCAAAUGUAUUUAGUGGAGAAGCUAUGCGUAUUUAGGUAUUGCAAGAUAGAAGGAUGCAAGAGCACUUUUCAUAACGAAACCAUAACCACUUGGCAUCGUUCUCACCGUGAAAAAUACAAGAGGAGUCAGUGGGUUGACAGAUAGCUACACCUAAAGCACGAAGGUUUCACUGAAAGGGGAGUCUGUGAGGCGACCAUUAGGGCCUACUAAUCUGUGGACUUCAUUUUACUGAUGAUGAUGACCUCAUUAUAUCACCGAUAUUGUCGAAAUCGUUGUAGUUUACCCUUUGGAGAUGUCGGCUGAAGAAUGGAGCAGUUCCAUUUCUGGGGCUUCGAAACCCAGAGGACCAAAGUUAUCUUUCUUCUAGGUAUACUAGGUAGUACCUAUCAAGUCUCGGAACUGUGAGUUCCCUAUUAGAUUAUGAGCAGGAAUUGGAGAAUGGAUUUGAUCAAAAUGUGAAACAGGAGUUAGUUGAUGAGGAGGAAGAAGUAACUGAACCUUUAUUUGAAGAAGAGAGGCAACAAGAUAUUUUGAGGUCCUUUUGUUCAGAUUCAGAUGCCUUGCAGUCAGAAGUUGGAUUGAAGAUCAUGGAUGAACAAGAUUCUGCUGCAUCCAAGGAAUUUUUUUAUCGAGUUUGUGGAGCAGGAAACUAAUAGAGAUGUCCCUGACAAGGCCUCUGCUGUCACAGUCCACCUCUAGUCAGUUACACAAAAAGGAAAGGGUUGUAAGAGGAAUUUAAGAAACAGAUUGUUAAGCCAAAAUUGGAAACUAUAAUUUUGACUGAAUGUGUGCUGUUUGCACCAGAUGUACCUCAGUUUGAAUUACCAAUGAUUUCCCUUUUAGUGGGGAAUUUCAAGAGAUAGAUUAUUUUUGUAUCUUUUCCAUUAUUUCUUAGCCUUGUUUGUGCACAAGCAAAGUAAUAAGUUCUAGAUGAACUCUGUUGUUGCAGAAUUAGUCACUGAAUUAAAAAAAAAAGUAAUGCUGAUGGUAAAAUGGAAAAGUUGCUACCACAGACCACUGGACCACCCAUGUGUUGUAUUUAGCGAUGGGUGUUGAAGAAAUUCUGUUGUAACAUUUCUUUCCAUUUAUUAGAUCUGUUGGGGAAUUCUGUGGAUUGCUUUGCAAAUACAUAACAAGCUAAGGAAAGGAAUUUGAAAUUUUUCAACCCAUAUCAAAAUAUUUUAUUUGAUCAAUCACACUUGUCCUCUGAAUGUUUGUGUCCUGUGAAGGGCCCAAGAAGGAAGUUAAAUUUUUUCUUAACAUAUUUUACACUCCGGUCAUGUAUGAUUUUUUUUUUUAAUCUGAAUGAGCAAGUGAUCUGAAUGAUUCUGUAAACAACGAACCUUGCAGUUUUUGUAUCUAGACAUCAUCUUGAGUAACAAGUGUAUACAUAUAGAUAUUUUCUUAUAUUAUCCCUUGCUUAUAUUUUAUAUCAAUACUGUAUUAGUUUAAUACUGUAAUUAGCUUUUAUAUUUUGUAAUACUGUAAAUAAAUUUACUGACCUCACUGAUUUACCUUCUUGAAUAUACAAUUGUCCCUUUUUUUUCCCUACAGAUUUUUUUUGUUGGUGAAUCCAAUUGCUUUGCAAGUUUGUGGUAACAAAUAAAAACAAGAUAAGAAUUACUGUACUAAAACUCAUCAAUUGUAUCUGUGGAAGUCUUAUAGCCUACAUUCCAACUGAAUUCGUGACUGACGUGUGCCAUUUCAGAAGACUGUCGUAGCCCAGCUGUAGUGUUGUGUGAACAAAGGAAUGUCUCACUUUUUUUAAUGUGUCAAGCAGCAGCAAGCAGUGGGAGAAUUUUUAAGCUAGCUGUAACACUCCAGUGUAUAUCCACUCCAAAAAGACUUCACACUUAGCCAUGCACAUACGAGAUGAAGUGGUAGCCAUGCACAUUGAGAUGAAGUGGUGAAAGUUGAACUUCAGCAACCAGUCUUGUAAAAGAAACAGCUUUUUCAAUAAGAUUAGAGUGAUAUUAUCUAACAGGGGACUUUUUAUUGUAGAGGCUCAAUCCUCA